CCUACGGGAGGCAGCAGUGAGGAAUAUUGGUCAAUGGCCGGAAGGCUGAACCAGCCAUGCCGCGUGCAGGUCAGUGCCCUAUGGGCGUUAAACUUCUUUUGUGCGGGAGCAAUAAUGGUCACGUGUGGCCAGACGAGAGUACCGUACGAAUAAGCAUCCGCUAACUCCGUGCCAGCAGCCGCGGUAAUACGGGGGAUGCCAGCGUUAUCCGGAUUUAUUGGGUUUAAAGGGUGCGUAGGCUGUGAGGUAAGUCAGCGGUGAAAUGCCCCCGCUCAACGGGGUGAAGUGCCAUUGAUACUGCCUGGCUGGAAUGCGGAUGCCGUGGGAGGAAUGUGUGGUGUAGCGGUGAAAUGCAUAGAUAGCACACAGAACACCGAUUGCGAAGGCAUCUCACGAAUCCGCGAUUGACGCUGAUGCACGAAAGCGUGGGUAUCAAACAGGAUUAGAUACCCUUGUAGUC
rnacentral:rRNA from 1 species